GUCGAUAGCAUGUUGAAACAUCAGUUCCCUUAUGAUCACCGAUAUUAAGCAACGUCGAGCCUGGUUAAUACUUAGAUGGGUAACCUCUUGGGUAUACCAGGUACUGUAA